rnacentral:rRNA from 1 species
CCUACGGGGGGCAGCAGUGAGGAAUAUUGGUCAAUGGACGAGAGUCUGAACCAGCCAAGUAGCGUGAAGGAUGACUGCCCUAUGGGUUGUAAACUUCUUUUAUAUGGGAAUAAAACGUUCCACGUGUGGGAUUUUGUAUGUACCAUAUGAAUAAGGAUCGGCUAACUCCGUGCCAGCAGCCGCGGUAAUACGGAGGAUCCGAGCGUUAUCCGGAUUUAUUGGGUUUAAAGGGAGCGUAGGUGGAUUGUUAAGUUAGUUGUGAAAGUUUGCGGCUCAACCGUAAAAUUGCAGUUGAAACUGGCAGUCUUGAGUACAGUAGAGGUGGGCGGAAUUCGUGGUGUAGCGGUGAAAUGCUUAGAUAUCACGAAGAACUCCGAUUGCGAAGGCAGUUCACUGGACUGCAACUGACGCUGAGGCUCGAAAGUGUGGGUAUCAAACAGGAUUAGAUACCCCUGUAGUC